CUCACCAUGGGAUGGAGCUGGAUCAUUCUCUUCCUCCUAUCAGUAACUACGGGUGUCCACUCCCAGGUCCAGCUACAGCAGUCUGGUCCUGGGCUGGGGAAUCCUGGGUCCUCAGUGAAGUUGUCCUGCAAGGCUUCUGGCUACACCUUCACUAAUUACGAAAUGCACUGGGUGAGACAGAGGCCUGGACAGGGCCUGGAGUGGAUUGGAUGGAUUUAUCCUGCAAAUAGUAAUACUGGAUAUGCUCAGAAGUUCCAGGGCAAGGUCAAACUGACUGCAGACAAAUCCUCCAGCACAGCCUACAUGGAUCUCAGCAGCCUGACCUCUGAGGACUCUGCGGUCUAUUAUUGUGCAAGAAAGACAGUGUUGCAACCCACAUCCUGA